UCCUGGAUAGUUCAGUUGGUAGAGCAUUGGGCUUUUAAUCUGAAGGUCCAGGGUUCAAGUCCUUGUUCAGGCA
rfam:Loxodonta africana unplaced genomic scaffold scaffold_108, whole genome shotgun sequence.